AUUGAACGCUGGCGGCAGGCUUAACACAUGCAAGUCGAGCGGGGGAAGGUAGCUUGCUACCGGACCUAGCGGCGGACGGGUGAGUAAUGCUUAGGAAUCUGCCUAUUAGUGGGGGACAACAUCUCGAAAGGGAUGCUAAUACCGCAUACGUCCUACGGGAGAAAGCAGGGGAUCGUCGGACCUUGCGCUAAUAGAUGAGCCUAGGUCGGAUUAGCUAGUUGGUGGGGUAAAGGCCUACCAAGGCGACGAUCUGUAGCGGGUCUGAGAGGAUGAUCCGCCACACUGGGACUGAGACACGGCCCAGACUCCUACGGGAGGCAGCAGUGGGGAAUAUUGGACAAUGGGGGGAACCCUGCUCCAGCCAUGCCGCGUGUGUGGAGAAGGCCUUAUGGUUGUAAAGCACUUUAGGCGAGGAGGAGGCUACUUUAGUUAAUACCUAGAGAUAGUGGACGUUACUCGCAGAAUAAGCACCGGCUAACUCUGUGCCAGCCGCCGCAGUAA
rnacentral:rRNA from 1 species